ensembl:lncRNA
GUUGGGACCAGGGAGCCAGUGCUGUUGGAGAAGAAAGGGAGCCACAGAGGAUGGCGUCUUGGAGCAAGCGCUAGGAAGCACAGCCCCCACUCGGGGCCAGGAGGCAGGAGAGCGGGAGAUUCACACGGCCGAGGUGUCGGCAUGGAACUCCAGUUCUGCCUCGGACACGCUGGGUGAUGUGAAGCCUCAAUUUUCCCAUCUGUAAAGUGGGGGUCCACUGAAGGGCAUAAUGAGGGCUCCAGAUGAUGGGUGGGAAAGGCCUUGGCAAGAGCUCAGGUGCCCUGCAGACACACGUGUUAGUGCAGAGACCUCUGAAGGAAGGCCUCCCCCAGGGCAGCCUCUCUUCCACACCGUCACAGGCGCGGGGCUUUCAACAGACAGUACUGCCCGCCUACCGCCUACGAGGCCCGGCGGGCCUGAGCUUCUCAGGGAUCCACCCGCCCCCACCCCGCACUUGCGCACCCCUUCCUCACCUCCCAGCCUCUCACAUCCCCUCGGUCAGCUCACUGGGUGCAGCCAGCAGCCAGCAGCCCGGCCCCGGGGCGGCAGGCCGGGAUUCCAUGCACCUGGGACGAAAGCAGAGGUGGCCUGGAGAGCCUGCGAGCCCAAACGCCGGUCCUACUCAGCCACACGUUUCCAGCGGGAUUUGCCGCGUUUCUUCGCCCCAGGUGGCGCGCACGUGACUCACGCCGAGCCAAUCGGCGUCUUCUGCAGGGGAUUUGCAAUCAGGACCCAAAGACUUCAGCUGAGGCCACCUGGCUUCACAUCUAGAGGUCACGUCGAGCCGGGAGCUGUUGACAGCUGUGCUUUCCGCUACCGACCGGAGGCGUGAGCAGAGCCAGGGGACGGCGGCAAGGCAAGGAAAUGGAAGCUCGGAGAAGUAGCCAUUUGUCCGAGGCCUGCUUUCGUCCACCUCUUCCGAAGGCUCAGCGCCACGGCUCCUGCUGCGUUUCAUUGGCCCCCUUGUCCACAAGUCACGGGUAAAAGGCCCCAGGCUCCAGCCCUGACGCUGUCACUGACUCACUGCCAUGUGACCCCGUUUAAGUCCGGCCCACCUCUGGGCCUCUCAAUAUGACCCAAGAACUAAGCUACCAGAGUCUUCUGGCUGAGCCAUGGAAGCUUGGGGGGGCCGGGGUGGUCCAGGCCUAGGCCGGGCAAGGCAAUAAUUAGCUGAGCGCUCUUCUGGAAUGUUAAGUACCCGGCCCUGGAAUGCAGCUCCCGCUGGCUACAAAUAUCAACCCCUCCCCCUGGGACAGGCCCUGCAGGGAAGAUAAAAAUCAGGGUGUGCAGACACUGGGGACCCUGUCCUAGGAGUCCCUCUGCCGGGAAGCACAGUCCUCUGACCUCUCCCAGGAUCUUCCUCCGUCCACAGCUCCCUCCCACUUAGGGCUUUGCCCGGAGUGGUGGGGAGCCCAGUGGUCCUGCCUCCUGGAUUUAAUGCCCUUGUGUAAUCCCCUGGUCGGUGUGGGCUAGACUUAGUGACUGCCUCUCGCAACAGAAUACAGCAAAAGUGAUGGGUCGUCACUUCUGAUAUCAGGUUACCAGAAGACCGUGGCUUUCAUUCUGGGCACCCUUCUGCUCUCUCUGAAUGAAGCCAGCUGCCAUGUUGUAAGCUGCCCAGGAGAGAGGCCCAAACGGCAAGGACCUGAGUGGGGCCUCUGGCCAGCCACCAGAGAGGCCAGCGAGGUUAGUGAGGAACCCAGGUCUGCAGUCCAGCAACCCACGAGGCCCCAAAUCCUGCCAACAAGCAUGUGAGUGAGCUUGGCCACAGAUCCAUCCCUGGUCGGGCCCAGACGACUGCGGUGCUGGCCGCCAGCUUGAUUGUGGCCUAUGAGAGACCGUGUGGCAAAGGGCCAGCUGGGCCAUGCCGACUCCUGCCCCAUGGACACUGUUAAGACAAUAAAUGUGUGUGGUUUUAAGUGGCUGACUUUUGG